GGCAAUCCCAGCGCAGACACGUGGGUUGGAGCAGCCUAGCGUUUCUGGGCAAUUGCUCCCGAGAUCCAACAGGCAGCAACGGUCCCAAGGGAGCCCCUCUGCUGCUCCGGAAGAUGCAAAAUGGAAAAGUCCAUCUGGGGACGUGCCUCCUUCCCCAGGCAGAGAGGUUACCUGUGUCUCCAGAAAAACAGCGGAUUUCUGGCGAGAGCCACAGAGAUGGGAAAAGAGGGCUCUGUUGCUAAACCUGACAAUGACCUGAAAUAUUCCCUGAUCUUCAGUCUUGGAAAUUUUUAAAACUCCAAAUUUUCCAAAAAUUUCAAAACACUUAUAUGGAUAAUUUCUUCCUUCCCCCUGGCCUAUUUGAGGACCUUCAUCGUUCACCAAACCGCGCCAGUGUAACGUACCUUGUUCAGCUCUUGGUCAUAAAGUCGUCCUCAGCCU